AUACGUAGGGAGCAAGCGUUGUCCGGAAUUACUGGGCGUAAAGGGCGCGUAGGCGGGGAUUUAAGUCAGGUGUGAAAACUCCGAGCUCAACUUGGAGAUUGCACUUGAAACUGGGUAUCUUGAGGGCAGGAGAGGAAAGUGGAAUUCCUAGUGUAGCGGUGAAAUGCGUAGAUAUUAGGAGGAACACCAGUGGCGAAGGCGACUUUCUGGACUGUACCUGACGCUGAGGCGCGAAAGCGUGGGUAGCGAACGGGAUUAGAUACCCCGGUAGUCCACGCUGUAAACGAUGAAUACUAGGUGUAGGAGGUAUCGACCCCUUCUGUGCCGCAGUUAACACAAUAAGUAUUCCGCCUGGGGAGUACGAUCGCAAGAUUGAAACUCAAAUGAAUUGACGGGG
rnacentral:rRNA from 1 species